GGAGACCUAGAAGGCGUGCCAUCCCCCUCUCUACCAUUUCUGGUCCUAAUUAGACCCUUGGGACUAGAGCAGCUGUUUUUGACCAUGAGAAAAGCCAGCUCAAGAGCCAAGCUGUGGAGAGCAGAAGGGAAACAGAAAGAAUGAAGAUUCCAAGGUUCUCGGCAAAAAGCAACAGCUAAGAAGUUGAAGGCAUGGAGCAUUUCAGUUGUUAUCCACCACAGGGGAGACUAAGCUUGAAAUUUGAAUUCAACCAAGUUAACUGCCUGUUGAAACAGAAAAUUAACGCUCUUGGAAGGAAUAUAACAGAGUCCAGAGACCCUACAGUUACAGUUCAAAAUCUCACAUAUACAA